AUUUUAAUCGACACUUUGUGCUUAAUCAGUGUACUUAAGCAUAAUAUGAUAUCAAAUAAGUCAUCAUUUUCACUUGACAUUGUUGGUUUAUUGGGUUAACCAUACGUUUAUUUCACCUCAAACCAAUUGGUUCAGUUAAUCUUUGAUAAGAAAUGGAGCUCAGUUUCAUCUAUUAAUAUUAUCUAUUAUUUGCAUUAAUGCAUUAAUUUUUUUACUUUGUUUGCUUGUUAAUGAUAUUUCUUUUCUAUCAUAAAAAGCUUGUGCCACUACAAAACUUAUCAAAUUUACAAACAUCAAUUUAUCUGAAGAGACCAUCUACUGAGCUGAUGAACAUUGAUUCCUUUCAAUCAGGCAAUGAUGUUGAGCCUGUCAAGCUUGUCAGCGCAAUGACGAUUAAAUUUAGUGAAGUCAAAUUCAAUCUAUCAAACCCAUUCAUCACCAUAAUGAUCCUUCACGAGAGAUCUAGUAAUCAUCAAAAUAAUUAAAAAUGACCAAAAUCCUGUGUUGAUGUUGGAUAUUGCAACAGAACUUUA